AGAGGACACCACAAGGCCCUGAAGAUGACUGCAUCAGACAUGGAAAUCGGCUCCGAAAUGCUCUAGAUAGCCAAGGAACUGUAACUAAGCAUAUAAUUUAAGUAAUCUGAGCAACAACAAAACAGGCAGAUCUGCAGUGAGACACCUCCUGGACAUGAUUUGGGUGAGAACAAUUCAUGUAGUGGGUCUUUGCAAAAAGGUGGUCAGACAAACACAUAAACAGUGUCUGAUGGGUGAUCUUAGUGACCAAAGCCUUAUGAAGACAUCUCUCUGGUGAUUCCACACAACACGGGGACAGCUUGGAGAAUCCGGACGAGUGGGUACAUUUAAUGUAUCAGGUCCUCAGUUCCAGGACCCCUCUCCAAACCAUCCAGAGG
rnacentral:lncRNA from 1 species